rnacentral:rRNA from 1 species
UACGUAGGGUGCGAGCGUUGUCCGGAAUUAUUGGGCGUAAAGGGCUCGUAGGCGGUCUGUUACGUCGGGAGUGAAAACUCAGGGCUUAACCCUGAGCCUGCUUCCGAUACGGGCAGACUAGAGGUAUGCAGGGGAGAACGGAAUUCCUGGUGUAGCGGUGAAAUGCGCAGAUAUCAGGAGGAACACCGGUGGCGAAGGCGACUCUUUGGCCUGUAACUGACACUGAGGCGCGAAAGCGUGGGGAGCAAACAGG